CAGCAGCUGUGUGAGUGGGUGUGCUGCUCCAUUAAGCAGGGGCUGCUCUGCUGCCGAAGAGCAUUUAUAGCCAAAGCACCAGCACUACUGGGUGUGCAGGCUUAGGGAAAGUUAGUGGCCUAAAAAGGAAGAGCUGUCUAAGGGCCAAGCUGUUUCUGCUGCACUGCUCUCCAUGGAAGGAUGAGAAAAGACCACAGCCCCAGGGCACGCUGCUUGCCUCGUGGUUUUACUUCAUGCUAUGCAGAACUAAGCUGGUCCUCCUGUGGUUCCUCCCUCCUCAGCACUGUUUCCUCUUCACUCUUGCAUCAACACUGAUCCUUCUCUGAUGUCAUUUCAGGGAGUUCCGCAUGGAAGGAGCUGUCUGUGAAGCACAGGCCAUUUUCUGAUCCCUGACCUGCAAACUGAUCUAAACAGAGCAAUGCUUUUGUGGAGCUCCAUUUAACCUGUGUGAUCCACGCUGCACUCUUAAUACACCACAAAAUAUCUCCAGCAGUAAACUACACAGGUAAUUUGUAACAUGCAGUAUAGAAACUAUUCCUUCAGUCCCUUAAGCAGGGUGGGUGGCUGUCCCCUAACAACACAACUGAUGUUCCUAUUGUGGCACGUCCUAGACAUGGCCACAGCCUUCAGACGGGCUUAAGGUAAGAAGCAGCUUAACUUGCUGAGUAAAGCUUGCAGAUCAGGAACAUAACUAAGACACACAAGAGAACCAGAACACUGCAGCUACAAUCGCAAUGUCUGCACAGCAGCCUCAGUAAAACACUUAAUAUGUUUCCCACCUUCAAGAAAAACAAAACCCUCUUCCUUGAGAGCUCCAGUACAGCACAAACCACGAUCCUAACAAGCAUUUUAUUUCUCAGAUAAACAAGUAUGCAUAUGAUUUCUGCUCCUAGGCCCUCCUCAAUUUCUUUGCUAAAAAGAGCUCUGUGAGGCAUUAAAAACAGGAUUCCUGGUGCACUCUUACAAUAGGGAAAAUUGAGUUGUUGCCAACUUUUUUUUCUUUUUUUUAAAUAAGCACCAUCUUGGAAGUGUAAUUAGUAGCUCAAAAGGACAUGUUAAGCAUUUUAACUGCUUUUGCUAUGGGACCUGCCUAGGCAUUUGUAUUCUUUAAGGCUCCACCUGCAGAAAUCACUCAAUGCAGAAAAUGUGAGCACAGGUCCCCAAGCUCAUGCCAAGCUUUUUUGUUGAGUGGACUCCUACAACCUAAUUUCAACAUGAGAACACAAAUUACAUGGCUUAAUACAACAUUAGUAAUCUUGCAUGGUAACUGUAGAAUAAUCACAGCUCCAAGUGUGAAACACCAGCACUGAAGGGGGAAUACAAAAUGGAUAAAGCCCUGCAGUGAUUCAGUUGGGUUACUUUAUGUAUGAAGCUUUUGUAUGCAACGGAGCAAAGGUCAACAUAUGCAUCGUGCAACUAGGACUAAAAUCCAGAGGUAGGAUCUGUUGAGAUCUUUAUCACGGGGUUUUAAGGUAGAGGGCACUUUUUCAAGCCUAUCAUACAUCACUAUUACUUUUGAAUGCUACACUUUGCUCCUAGCAAAAAAAACAACCCAAAGUGUAAGUGACGUGCCUUCUAUAUUUCAGUUCUGAAGACUGAAUGGCACCUUCAUUCAUGAAGUCAUAGCCUGCACAUAACCUUCAUUCAUAAAUAUACAGUCUGCGUAUAACCUUCACUUCAUGUGGCCCCAUUUGGGCCAGGGAUGGCACGUUACAAGCUCUACAUAUACCAACAUACACACAAUUACACGACAAAACACAGGGCUAAUUUUAGACCUUUGCAGCCUGCUAGCAAACAGAAGCAGGAGGCUGCAGUCUCUGUUGCAGCAGGUGCUGCACAACUGGCAUGAGGAAUUCUGGUUCACCACCCAGCCUUCUAGGCAUGGUGGCAAUCGAAAUAACAACACACUGCACUACAAACAAGCAUACUGAGCUUUUUAGUGGUAGUUUAACAAGAUUGCUUUUAUUUACACUGCCACACUUUAAAAAAUGGAUGCUUUGUUGGUGAGUUGGGAAAGCAUUUUCAGUUUGCUUUAUCUUAGGAGUAUUCCACCCAUUUUAAAGAGUGUUUUCCAUCAUAAACGUUGCACUUGCUUAGAAGAAUAAGUCUUCCUAAUAUCCAGUACUGCCCGAUCUUAGUAAUUUUUACCUUGAUGAGUACAACGCUCACUCAAUUUGUAGCCUUUUAUGACACGCUUUCAAGACUUAUAUGAAAUUUCAAAAGCAUUUACCUGCCCUUGCAGUAUUAUAGUCUCAUCUAUCUCUAUAUUUCAGUUCUUCCUCUAAAAUUCAAGCGAAGUAAACAGCUUGAACUCAUUAUGUCUGUAUUGAGAGUUCAACUUCAAAAUGCAAACAGAAAAGGGAUGCAUGGUAGUGUCCUUUUUAUAAACAGACUGAUCCACACGAUUCAGAUGAAAAGUGAGUAAAGAGUUAAUCCGAAUGCGAAGGGCUCCAUGUCAGUAAUAGCAUGAACAAACCCCCACAGAAGGCUUCAUGGCUAGCAGCACACUCCACAGAGUCCAGAUGAACCAGCAGGAAGAACAGAGGGCGGAUAAUCCUGUAAAAUUACCCCAGUGGAAAUGCUGAUAAAUUCCCAAUUGUGAGACCUGCUCUAAAAUGAAAAAAAUGCAAGAUACAAUACAAUUACCAGUCAACACUUGCACAUCUCUGUAUUUAAGCCAGACACAUACUUCAGGUACUCCUUAAUCCCUUGAAUUUUGAAUUUGUUACCCAUUGUGGUGAGAGCUAGAUUAAGAAAAUAAACCCCAGAAAACAACCAAUCAAACAAAUAAACAAACAAACAAACAAACAAACAAAAAAUCCUGGAGAUCUGCAACUCUGCUUAUAAAGCAAAUACCUGCCUGCAGAAUUACAGCACGAGUUACUGUCAGAGAACUGUUGGGGUUGGAAGGGACCUCUGGAGAUCCCCUCCUAACAUGUUCCCUGCAGUUGGUUGCAUAGGAAAGUGUCCAGACAGGUCUUGAAUAUCUCCAGAGAAGAACACUACACCUCCUCUCUGUGCUGCCUGUUCCAGUGCUCUGUCUCUAUGCACUUGUGGAGAUAGACAUUAGAAAGAGAUGGGGGUGGGGGUGAAAGGAAAACAACAAACCAGUUUGACUGUAUUUGUUAUGGUUGUACUUUCAUACUACAGAACGCAGAGCAAGGCUGAUACGAAUUUUUAAUUUUCGUGGAAGAGUUGUCAAGAUACACCGUGCUCACACCGUGCUCACACCAAGACAGAGACAGAUGUGCAGACGCAGACUCUCCUAAAGCCCCCUGGGAUCCUGGCUUACAGGCCCCACAAAGCCCUGAGCCACACAGCUCCCUGCAGGCACACAGGCCCCGCUGACCCACUUCUCCGCGCUCCAGGGGCGCACACAAGCGUGCGCUCACACACGUGCCCGCUCACAAGCUCCACAACCCCUCGCCUUCCCCACCCCGCACCCGAGGAAGCGCCGUCCCAAUUCCCCUGUUUACCCCCUCAGGUGCGCGUCCCCCCGCCCCACAUGUCAGCGCAA